GACGUAGGGCGCGAGCGUUGUCCGGAUUUAUUGGGCGUAAAGAGCUCGUAGGCGGCUCGUUGCGUCGGCUGUGAAAAACCCGCCAGCUCAACUGUGGGCUUGCAGCUGAUACGGGCGGGCUGGGAUUCGGUAGGGGAGACUGGAAUUCCUGGUGUAGCGGUGAAAUGCGCAGAUAUCAGGAGGAACACCGGUGGCGAAGG
rnacentral:rRNA from 1 species